rnacentral:rRNA from 3 species
UGCGAUACGUAGUGUGAAUUGCAGAAUUCCGCGAAUCAUCGAGUCUUUGAACGCAAGUUGCGCCCGAGGCUUGCCCUCGGGCAUUUCUGUCAGAGCGUCAC